GAUGAACGCUGGCGGCGUGCCUAAUACAUGCAAGUCGAGCGAACAGACGCGGAGUUUGCUCCUUUGACGUUAGCGGCGGACGGGUGUGUAACACGUGGAUCCCCUCCCUAUCUGUCUGGGAUCACUUCGGGACACCGGAGCUAAUCCGGGAUAACAUGUUGAACCGCAUGGUUCAAUAGUGAAAGACGGUCUUGCUGUCACUACUAGAUGGAUCCGCGCUGCAUUAGCUGGUUGGUACGGUAACGGCUUACCAAGGCAACGAUGCGUAGCCGAGUUGAGAGGGGGAUCGGCGACACUGGAGCUGAGACACGGUCCAGACUCCUACGGGAGGCAGCAGUAGGGAAUCUUCCGCAAUGGGCGAAAGCCUGACGGAGCAACGCCGCGUGAGUGAAGAAGGUCUUCGGAGCGUAAAGCUCUGUUAUUAGGGAAGAACAAAUGUGGAAGUAACUAUGCACGGCGUGACGGUACCUAAUCAGAAAGCCACGGCUAACUACGUG
rnacentral:rRNA from 1 species